rnacentral:tRNA from 1 species
GGCCCUGUAGCACAAUUGGUUAGUGCGCCCGCCUGUCUAGUGGGAGGUUGACGGUUCGAGACCGUUCAGGGUCGCCA